rnacentral:rRNA from 1 species
AUUGAACGCUGGCGGCAGGCCUAACACAUGCAAGUCGAGCGGAUGAGAGGAGCUUGCUCCUCGAUUCAGCGGCGGACGGGUGAGUAAUGCCUAGGAAUCUGCCUAGUAGUGGGGGACAACGUUUCGAAAGGAACGCUAAUACCGCAUACGUCCUACGGGAGAAAGUGGGGGAUCUUCGGACCUCACGCUAUUAGAUGAGCCUAGGUCGGAUUAGCUAGUUGGUAGGGUAACGGCCUACCAAGGCGACGAUCCGUAACUGGUCUGAGAGGAUGAUCAGUAACACUGGAACUGAGACACGGUCCAGACUCCUACGGGAGGCAGCAGUGGGGAAUAUUGGACAAUGGGCGAAAGCCUGAUCCAGCCAUGCCGCGUGUGUGAAGAAGGCCCUCGGGUCGUAAAGCACUUUAAGUUGGGAGGAAGGGCUUACAGCGAAUACCUGUGAGUUUUGACGUUACCGACAGAAUAAGCACCAGCUAACUUCGUGCCAGCCGCCGCAGUAA